rnacentral:lncRNA from 1 species
GGAGAAGCACACGCUGGACAUUCAUACAGAGGUUUCAUCCAUGAAAAAGGGUCCAAACUUUUGCUCUUUUAGGUUGUCUUUACGCUUUAAAUAAAAACUAUUUUUAUAUUAUAUGAUGGGUAUUACAUUUAACGUUGAAUGCCUAUUCAUUUUUAUUUGAUUUGUGCUGAUUAAUUAAUUGUGCCCUUGAAUGCUCAUCAUCAUCACGGAAGCUCAUUUCUGCUGCAGUCAAUUGCCUCAUGCAUGGUGCAUUUAAUUUUUCUUUAUAUAUUUCCGCUGCAUAGUCACCAAAGCUGAAGGGGACAUUUCAUUUCUUUUUGCUAAUUUGUUACGUUAAACAGCUUGCAGUCCCAUAGCAUUAGAUUAGCUAAAAUCUAUUGCAUUUUAAUUGAUUCACUUGAAGGGAAUUGAAGUCUGGUUGCUUUCAUUUAAGGGUGUGCACGGUGAUUUAUGCUGAAAAGAUAAAAGAAUGAAUUCAUCAUCUAUUUUUUUAGAACCACGUUGCUUUAUUUUUGGAGCUUCAAUCGGGGAUGCAUUUAUUUUCUUUCUUUNUCUUUUUUAUUUUUUUUAAGUGUUGAUUCCAUGAUGAUUAGCAUUUUACUUUCUAGCUAAACAUUGCAUUAUAAUAGUUUUAACUGUGCUUAGAUAUUUGUUUGCUCUACUAUUGGGUUUAGCAUUUUCAC